AGUUUUCAUUUGCUUCACUGCUGUAUGCCCUUCAACAUGUGCGAUCCAGCCACCAGAAAAUUGUCCCCAUGCUCGCUUGAGCAGCAGCGCUCGGCCACGCCGUCUGCUACUCCCCUGCUCAGCCACGGCAAGUCGUCGACCUAGUGCUGCACCCUCCCUGCUCGUCGGCCACCAGGACGACAUCUCCACGCGCCGAGUUCCUCCCAUGGCUAUCCCAAACCCUAGCCGAGAUCCCCUCCUGUGUCGGCCACUAUCUCCUUCACCAGGCGCUCUCCUCCACCUACAGCUCGCCCCCGACCACAGCCGCACGCCAACCUCGCCCUUGGUCAUGGAGCAGCAACAACCAUGGAACCCCUUCGUGUCGCGCCCUCGAUGUGCUCGAUGAAAUACCGCAGCGAGCUCCACCUCGAUCUGUGCAGCCCUAGUGUGACCUCGCCGAACCCCAAUGAGAACCCGUUGUUUUCCUUGUGUUUAUUCCUCUCCGGUACAUGUAUUCGACGCCGAUUAAUUAAAUGCUAACCAUGUGUAUAUGUGUAUGCUUAUGUGUGGGAUGUGAGGAAAAAUCUCAUAUGUGUGAAGCGAGACAAGCCGUGCGAUGAUUGUUUGGUGUUCAGUGUUAUGCUUAAACUGGAAAUCAUUAUCUACUCGGUGAGGUCCUGCUAUUGUUGUUUUACCUCUUCCUUUCUUUACCCGGCGUCGAUUUAUUAGAUGCUAAUCGUAUGUAUGUUAUGGUGUGCUUGUGAGGAGAGAAAUCCCUGGAGGUUUGGUUCAAUAUGAAAGCGAAGUCCCGAGGUGUCGUUCAUUAGGUGCUCGACGUAUGGGCUAAAGUGUAGCUCGACGUUGUGCUUAUAGUCUCCGAGUCGAAUUUAAUUUUGGGUGAGUUCCUUCGCUAUCUAUAAUAGUCAGCUUGAAUGGUGCGCUAAAUAUUUAGGUGGUCGAUGAUUCUUUGCGAUUAGCAUAGGUGCUUUGUGGUGAUGUUUGCUUAGGGAAUCUGAUUGUCCCUGAGCUGAAUUUUGCUGCACACAUUCUCUCUGUUGUGGUAAUAAUUGAGUGAAUUAGAUCAUAUUUUCUGUAGAAGUGUUAUAUAUAAAACUUGUAGAUAAUCUCUUUAUCUUACUUGUGUAUAAAUUUCAUGACCAUAGUCUUAGCAGUUUAGGAGUUAUGAUUUUCUCAAGUCCAGUUUCAGAAUCUGUCCAGAUUCUGUACAGAUUUCGAAAAUGACCUUGUUUGCCCAAGUUAAACUGAGAAUCAGCUCUUAGUAAUUCUAGGAGAAUUGUAGUACUUUGCUUAAGCUUUCCAACAAAUUUUGGAUCACCCUUUUUGGUGAUCUAGAAGUCAAGUUAUGGCUGUUUUAAAUGGAAUGUUUGAAUCUGUCAACAGUCUGGACAACAAUGUUUGUUUGUAUUAAGUGACUUUAAUCCACAUUGAAUCAACCUGAAAUGUUUAUAAACGAAUUGUAGACAAUUGUAUUAGCUUUCUAAAAAGUCUAGGAUCACCUGUUUUGGAUACCUAAAUCUCCAGUUAUGGAGUUUUGAUUUGAAUAACCAAAUUCUGUCCAAAUCUGGACAGCAUUAUUGUUUUGUACUGUUUGACCUUUCUAAGUGUCAAAUUUCGUUGUGAUGAAAAUACCAAAGUUGUAGAGUUAUGAGCAAAACCGUUGACUGCUGAAUGCUGUCCAGAAAAUCUGCAAUGGGGUAUUUGGUUUGAUUCCUGUUUGGCUAAGUAGGAGUAAUCAGUUUUUGAUUCUUGAGUGAUGAAGACUUAUGACAUGUGAAAUGUUUAUCCAAAUGUCUUGUUGCACAUGGUUGAGUUUUUCUUUCUUAAUGUGUGCUCUAAACCUAUUAGUUUGGGAAUUAAUACUUUGAUGAAUGUAUUGGAACUAGUAGCUAAUUAGACCUUGUGUGGUUAUAAUGAACUCAAUAAUGCGAAGAAGGUUUAGUAGACAUACAUAUCUAGAUCUAUGAAUUAAUUUGGUCGCCUUAUAAUUAUAAGCAUGAUGUUAAUGCCGGAUGAUUGAUGAGUAAAGUUUAGAAUUGAAGUGCUUGUUAUGCAUAGAAGUGUUUUAGAUCUAUAGGUUGAGAUAAGUUUUGCUCCAUAGGAUUUUAUGCUAGUUAAUAGUGGGUUAUUCAUUAGUGCUAAGAAUGAUGUUAAUCCUUUGAUAGUGUACUCUAAUCCAUAAAGUUAAGGUUCAUGUAUAGCCUUUUGUUGAUUGAUGCUUGAGUUAGAUCUAUGUAAAUGUAAAAAAAUGUACUUGUGAUACUUAGUAAUAUCUUGACAUCUAGUGUGCUCCUAGAUGUUGUGAUGACUUUUUUAAAUAUUUAUCCUCUUUAACAUAGAUUAUCUAUCUUAUGCUCUUUGUGUUCAUGCUCAUGUGCAUCAUACAUAUCCUUUAGGUACGUUAAUUGAUCACGUGCUAUGGAAGACGAGUGGAAUUGAUCUCCAAGUGAUGCUGAUGGACGAAGCUAAAAUGGAUGAAUCAACCAAGUGCCAGGAUAGAAGAUGCUCACCAAGUGGUCGUCAAUUAACAACACUAACUUAGUGUUAUCCCAGGCAAGCCCCGGUGCAUUUGCCACCACCUUCUGUUUUAAAAACUUUUAUCACUUACCUGUUGCAUUAGGUGAUAGGAGUUGUGUGAAUAAACAAUUGAUGCAUUACCAUUCCUUGGAAUUUGAUUAUCCUC
rnacentral:lncRNA from 1 species